rnacentral:rRNA from 1 species
AAGCGCGUGUAGGCGGGCCGCCACGUCGGCUGCUGAAAUCCCCCGGCUCAACCGGGGAACGGGCACCGAUACGAGCGGCCUGGAGGGGGGUAGGGGGGCCUGGAACUUCCGGUGGAGCGGUGAAAUGCGUUGAGAUCGGAAGGAACGCCCGUGGCGAAAGCGAGGCCCUGGACCCUUUCUGACGCUGAGACGCGAAAGCCAGGGGAGCGAACGGGAUUAGAUACCCGUGU